CCUACGGGGGGCAGCAGUAGGGAAUUUUCGUCAAUGGGCGCAAGCCUGAACGAGCAAUGCCGCGUGAACGAGGAAGGUCUUCGGAUCGUAAAGUUCUGUUGACGGGGAAAAAGAGCGGAGCGAGUAAAUGCUUUCUGAUUGAUAUUACCCUUCGAGGCAGUCACGGCUAACUACGUGCCAGCAGCCGCGGUAAUACGGAGGGGGCGAGCGUUAUCCGGAAUGGUUGGGCGUAAAGGGUGCGUAGGCGGCCUGCUAAGUCUGGGGGGAAAGGUACCGGCCCAAACCGGACAAGGUCUGGAAAACGGGGGGGCUAGAGGGAAGGAGAGGGCGGUGGAACUCCAUGUGUAGCGGUAAAAGGCGUAGAUAUAUGGAAGAACACCAGUGGCGAAGGCGGCCGCCUGGCCUGUUACUGACGCUGAGGCACGAAAGCGUGGGGAGCAAAUAGGAUUAGAUACCCGGUAGUC
rnacentral:rRNA from 1 species